UCCCUGGCGUGCUCUGCAUGGCAGAACUCCUGCGCAUCGGCGCGGCAGACUGUCAUGGGGUCGCUUUUUCAUUCUCCCUCUCGCCUGGCGAGAAAUUUCGUUUGGGAGGGAAGUGUAUAGUCGGCUUUGUCUGUGUAGUUCUAUCYAAGCGUGGAAACAACAUUGGUCCCAUGAUGGGUGUUUUUUGCUUUGCCUUGUUGAUAAUUUUAUUGUCUCUAGGGCAACCGAAUUGUUGGGRAAACUCUUGUGCUUGCCACGAUGUUUUUGUCGUGGCACCGUACAUGGGUCUUGUCGGCUCUCGCGGAUGCUGUGCUCACGAUAAGUUCUGUAGGCCAUUGGUCCACAAGCUUCAAAAGGUCCCUCGUACGGAUCAUCGGUCCGUCAUUCGCUCGUCAUGUUGGUAAUGCCUUCAUGUCGGAGCGGUGUGUGGGGGGCCUUUCUGACCGAUUGAGCAACGAUUGUCGGCUAGUGUAAGACGGGCCACCCUGCUGGGGUGGUUUCUGAAACAACAAGCCGGCUCUCGUUUAAGACGUGC
rnacentral:misc_RNA from 1 species